rnacentral:rRNA from 1 species
GAUGAACGCUGGCGGCGUGCCUAAUACAUGCAAGUCGAGCGAACGGACGAGAAGCUUGCUUCUCUGAUGUUAGCGGCGGACGGGUGAGUAACACGUGGAUAACCUACCUAUAAGACUGGGAUAACUUCGGGAAACCGUAGCUAAUACCGGAUAAUAUUUUGAACCUCAUGGUUCAAAAGUUAAAGACGGUCUUGCUGUCACUUAUAGAUGGAUCCGCGCUGCAUUAGCUAGUUGGUAAGGUAACGGCUUACCAAGGCAACGAUGCAUAGCCGACCUGAGCGGGUGAUCCGCCACACUGGAACUGAGACACGUCCCAGACUCCUACGGGAGGACGCAGUAGGGAAUCUUCCGCAAUGGGCGAAAGCGUGACGGAGCAAAGCCGCGUGAGUGAUGAAGGUCUUCGGAUCGUAGAACUCUGUUAGUAGGGAAGAACAAAUGUGUAAGUACCUGUGCACAUCUUGACGGUACCUAAUCAGAAAGCCACGGCUAACUACGUG